rnacentral:rRNA from 1 species
AGUGAACGCUGGCGGUAGGCCUAACACAUGCAAGUCGAACGGCAGCACAGUAAGAGCUUGCUCUUACGGGUGGCGAGUGGCGGACGGGUGAGGAAUACAUCGGAAUCUACUUUUUUGUGGGGGAUAACGUAGGGAAACUUACGCUAAUACCGCAUACGACCUACGGGUGAAAGCAGGGGAUCUUCGGACCUUGCGCGAUUGAAUGAGCCGAUGUCGGAUUAGCUAGUUGGCGGGGUAAAGGCCCACCAAGGCGACGAUCCGUAGCUGGUCUGAGAGGAUGAUCAGCCACACUGGAACUGAGACACGGUCCAGACUCCUACGGGAGGCAGCAGUGGGGAAUAUUGGACAAUGGGCGCAAGCCUGAUCCAGCCAUACCGCAUGGGUGAAGAAGGCCUUCGGGUUGUAAAGCCCUUUUGUUGGGAAAGAAAAGCAGCAGGUUAAUACCCCGCUGUUCUGACGGUACCCAAAGAAUAAGCACCGGCUAACUUCGUG